rnacentral:rRNA from 1 species
UACGAAGGGGGGCUAGCGUUGCUCGGAAUCACUGGGCGUAAAGGGUGCGUAGGCGGGUUUUUAAGUCAGGGGUGAAAUCCUGGAGCUCAACUCCAGAACUGCCUUUGAUACUGAAGAUCUUGAGUCCGGGAGAGGUGAGUGGAACUGCGAGUGUAGAGGUGAAAUUCGUAGAUAUUCGCAAGAACACCAGUGGCGAAGGCGGCUCACUGGUCCGGUACUGACGCUGAGGUGCGAAAGCGUGGGGAGCAAACAGGG